UUGACCGUCACAUGAGGUGACAGCUUUACAGUAUCACCUAUGAACUAGACAGAAGUGGAAGACACCAACAUAGUUUUAAAACAAACAACUGAUACAGAUAGAGAAAGGGAUAUUAUAACUUUUCAUUUUGGAUUCAAGUGAAGACAAGAUGGGCACCAGAUGGAUCAUAUCAGUUGUCCUGAUUCUAAUGGCAACAGCAGGAACAACGGCACCUGCUACUUCAACAAAGACACCUGCUCCAACAACAAAAACAACUGCAGCAACAACAGUGUCAAAAACCACGACACCUGCUCCAACAACUGCAAAAACAACACGUGCUCCGACAACAAUUGCAAAAACAACAACCCGUGCUC